rnacentral:rRNA from 1 species
GACGAACGCUGGCGGCGUGCUUAACACAUGCAAGUCGAACGGAAAGGCCCUGCUUGCAGGGUACUCGAGUGGCGAACGGGUGAGUAACACGUGGGUGAUCUGCCCUGCACUUCGGGAUAAGCCUGGGAAACUGGGUCUAAUACCGGACAGGAGCCAUUUUUAGUGUGAUGGUUGGAAAGUUUUUUCGGUGUAGGAUGAGCUCGCGGCCUAUCAGCUUGUUGGUGGGGUAAUGGCCUACCAAGGCGGCGACGGGUAGCCGGCCUGAGAGGGUGGACGGCCACAUUGGGACUGAGAUACGGCCCAGACUCCGACGGGAGGCAGCAGUGGGGAAUAUUGCACAAUGGGCGCAAGCCUGAUGCAGCGACGCCGCGUGGGGGAUGACGGCCUUCGGGUUGUAAACUCCUUUCGCUAGGGACGAAGCUUUUUGUGACGGUACCUAGAUAAGAAGCACCGGCUAACUACGUG